rnacentral:rRNA from 1 species
AUCGAACGCUGGCGGCAGGCCUAACACAUGCAAGUCGAACGAGUGGCGGACGGGUGAGUAAUGUCUGGGAAACUGCCUGAUGGAGUGGGCUAACUACUGGAAACGGUAGCUAAUACCGCAUACCAUCGGAUGUUCCCAGAUGGGAUUAGCUAGUAGGUGGGGUAAAGGCUCACCUAGGCGACGAUCCCUAGCUGGUCUGAGAGGAUGACCAGCAACACUGGAAAUGAGACACGGUCGAGACUCCUACGGGAGGCAGCAGUGGGGAAUAUUGCACAAGGGGCGCAAGCCUGAUGCAGCCAGGCCGCGUGUAUGAAGAAGGCCGUCGGGUUGUAAAGUACUUUCAGCGGGGAGGCGUUACCCGCAGAAGAAGCACCGGCUAACUCCGUGCCAGCCGCCGCGGUAAUAC